UUGAACGCUGGCGGCAGGCCUAACACAUGCAAGUCGAACGGUAACAGGAAACAGCUUGCUGUUUCGCUGACGAGUGGCGGACGGGUGAGUAAUGUCUGGGAAACUGCCUGAUGGAGGGGGAUAACUACUGGAAACGGUAGCUAAUACCGCAUAACGUCGCAAGACCAAAGAGGGGGACCUUCGGGCCUCUUGCCAUCGGAUGUGCCCAGAUGGGAUUAGCUAGUAGGUGGGGUAACGGCUCACCUAGGCGACGAUCCCUAGCUGGUCUGAGAGGAUGACCAGCCACACUGGAACUGAGACACGGUCCAGACUCCUACGGGAGGCAGCAGUGGGGAAUAUUGCACAAUGGGCGCAAGCCUGAUGCAGCCAUGCCGCGUGUAUGAAGAAGGCCUUCGGGUUGUAAAGUACUUUCAGCGGGGAGGAAGGGAGUAAAGUUAAUACCUUGACUCAUUGACGUUACCCGCAGAAGAAGCACCGGCUAACUCCGUG
rnacentral:rRNA from 1 species